AGGAGAACUGAGGCCCGUAAAAACCUAGCUCCCUUCCCCUUUCUCCUCAAAACCCUACCUCCACUUCUCCUUCCUCGCGCCUCCAAAACCCUAUCUGAAAACCAGAGGGGAGAGGGAGGAGAAACCCUAGAAUUCCAACCUUCUCCUCGUCAAAGCCUCGCUCCGUCGGGCGAUGGCACUCUACCUCCCCUUUGAAUCCGCCUCCGGCUACAUCCUCUUCCACGCGUACGGCCUCGACGAGAUCGGCCAGAACACCGAGGCCGUCCGGAACUCGGUCCUCGACCUCAUGCGCCUUUGGCAAGGUGGUCAAGCUCGUCGCCUUCCACCCUUUCUCCUCCGCCCUCGAUGCCCUGAACCAAUGCAACGCCAUCUCCGAAGGGCUCAUGACCGAUGCGUUGAGGAACUUCUUGGAAAUCAACCUCCCGAAACCAAAAGAGGGGAAGAAGGCUAAGUUCAGCCUCGGCGUUGCAGAGCCCAAGGUUGGGUCUCAGAUCUUUGAAGUGACCAAGAUUCCUUGCCAGAGCAAUGAGUUCUCUCGAGCUCCUUCAUGGUGUCAGGUUGCACUUUGAUAGGUUCAUUAAAGACUUGAAGAUUGGAUUUUUGUCACCUGAUUGAGUAGUUUAUAUCUGCUAUAAGUUAUACUGGGUUUUCAUGUAAAGAUGAUGUUGUUCUGUUUAUUUUGUCUUUGUGGUUAUAGCCAUUAGACUUGGAGAAGCCUCAGCUGGGUUUGAGUACAAUCAUUGUUCAGGAUCUCGGUCAUUUGUUGCAACAAUGACUAUACCGCCGGAGUUUAAUGAUUCUGAAAACCUUGAAUUUUCAGAAUUCUAUAAGAAAACUCAUACCAAGAAGAACAAAGAGUGGAUUGAUCCUAUUUGCGUCGUGAAACAUGUAGUCAAAGAUGUUGAGCUUGCGAGAAGAAUCUUUCCAAUCCGGUGUGCAAUUAACAUAAGAGGAGAUGUCUAGACAGACACUUGGAAAAAGAAAGAGAUACAUUCUUAGAUUUAGGGUUGGGCUGAAGCCCUCUUCAUCUUCUUCCAUACCUAGUCGUGUGUCACAAGACCAUGUUGGGGAGUUGCAGAAACUUAAAGCUGAGAUGGAGGAGAUAAAGAUGGAGCAUGAGGAGCUGCGGAGGCAAUUGGAGCAGGAGAGGAGAGAGCAUGAGGAGGAAAAGAAAGAGCGAGAGGAAGAACAGAAGCAAAUUGCACAUCUUACAAGUUUGGUGACAGAGUUCUUAAAGAAAAAGACCAAACACACAAGUCAUCUAUCCAUCAUAAUGGGCCAUGUAUUCAACUGGUGGUACAAAUACUCGUUGAUACAUGGUGGAGUUAUGAGCAUGUGAAAUCUAGUUUCUGGUACAUGAAUAGCUUUUGUUCAGAUGAUCAUGGUGGAGUUGUCUGCAAGCAGAAUCCAGUUUUUAGUAUAAGAAUAUUUUUAUCUACAUGAUGGUUGUUUGGAUGAAUAGCAAGAUCAGAUAUUUUGGGAUUUUUAAUUUACAUUUUGAUGUGUUUGGUGAUGAUUAUCACCUUAACAUAUGGUAUGGAUGAAACAUUGUGAUGCAUGGUUAAUAGGUAUGCUUAACGUUAGACUUAUAGAUGAUGAUAUUUAUAAUGAAUGAUUAUGGAUUCUCCAA